AUAGAAGAUAGUAUGGAGAUUCACCGAUAGUCAAGCAGUCUAUUAGUUUUGACUGCUGGAAUAUAAACGACUGCAACAAUGUACCGUAAAUCUAUACGGAUGCUCUUUGACUGCUUAUCGAAGUCCUUUUUGCCCCAGCCGAUAGGUCUCUAGACGUUACUGAGAACCCCAAACUAUCCCAAACUGUUAAUCUUCAAUACCGCUUUGUACUUACGAUCUUGUAUCCACUGACUGUCUUGUUAGAUUAACCCAAUAAAUUUCAUUCACUCCACAUACUCAAUCCUAUAGACACCCUUUUAAUCCUUCAAUCACAGACGUAACUCGAUUUCACAAAACAGUCAAGAAUAUUCAAACCUUCUUCAUUAAAAAUCUCGAUUCACCAUUACAAUACUGACUUUAGCAGCGAUUGCCUCAGUCUUCCCAAAACUCUACGAAGAAGAAAAAUCCAAAUUCUAUGUCUUUCCUUCUCCGACCCGAAGCAU
rnacentral:lncRNA from 1 species